CUGCAAUGCGUUCAGUUGAGCGCUGGCUUUGGUUUGAGAUGAACAGGCUGCAAAGGGCAGUUUAACUAGGCUGACCUUUACUGUAUUGCAGCGUGACAGAAGAGGGCAUUGGGCAAGAUAUAAUUUACACAACAUAAAGCAUUUUGAACAACCCUCACUGCUGUGCAAGAAGUUGGCUAGAUAUUCUUAUGCACAUAAUAUCAAGUGACAUUGCAGGGUUUUCAUAUAAUACUGUCAGCUUCAAAUCUCCUACAAAAUGGAAAUGGCUACAUUGGAUUGUGUUACAGUCCGUCUCUCCAGUCUUAUUCUGCCUGCGACCUGUGGUAUUUAGAGAAGACUACAGUACCACGUUGUCGUGAGCCAUUUUCAGCACCCGCAAGCUGCAACGUGGGCAUAACAAAACUGGACUGCCUUGCAAGGUUGUUGUAAACAGCUCCCUCUCAGCCAAGUGCAUUAAGAGCAUAUUCAGAGUUAUAUCCACUAAAUUCCAUCAGGAUGUAAGGAAUAUGGAGACCUGACCCCUAGCGAAGGAGUUGGUGCAUUUCCUGGAUAAGAUACACCAAAGUGGAUGAGUAACAAGCUGCUGUGUGUGCAUCCCAAGGCCAGCAUAAAUACAAGAAAAAGAAGGGAAACAACAACAACAAAAACUUGUGAUAAAUCUCCCAAGUACCUUGAGUUCUCUUGGUUCAGCUAAGGCCUGUUCUACACAAGCAGGAAGAAUGAGAUGGUAGAAUUCUGGGAUGAUAGAGCGGAUGGUACCACUUCAGGCUCCGGUGGAGUUCAAUCAUCUGAUCCUAAGCGGAAGCGACAGGCACUGCAAGAAGCCCUGGCCCUUUACCCAUGUGUGAUACGUUGCGGUCUUGGCCUGCCACGCCUGGAGCACCCGACAGCCAUCCCCAGCCCUUUCUGCAUCUGGUGGCACCCAGCCAAGCCCUCCAGUGAUGUGAACCUGGAAGACCUCUUAUCCUCUUAAGGAGGCAGCGAGGCUCCAUGACAGCUGAGGUCAAAAAGGAUGACAGCAUGCCGAGGAGUCGUAAGGCAAAGAGAGCCUUUACCAGGCAUCGCGGAGAGAUGCAGCUGCCGCUGGGGUGGAAGGAACCGCUGCUUAUACAAGGAUCCCCAAGCCCAACGCUAGGCUGCAGCCCAAGCCCAUGAAAGGGACUCCCAGUUGCUGGAUAUGAGACAUGAGGUCUUGGAUCUCAGCCCCAGUUCUGACAUUGACGAGGACAAAACUAAAUUACCUGUCGUGCUGCUUGGAGGUGUUCAUUAAAUCUGGACGAAGGAGAGAAAAAUCCACUGACAGGGCGAGAAAAUGCCCUGCCUGCACUGGAGAAGGAUGUGGCACCCAGACCCAGAAAUCUGGAUAUCAAGAUGUGUGUUUGGGAAACAAAGGCAGAAGGGACAUAAGGGUCACAUACUUGUAUUGAAGACCAUCCUAUCAUGAUCCGCUCCUACAAUAUAGAGAAAAAGAGAAGGCGUUUCCAAGACCAAAUCCUGGACAUGGGAUAGGACAGCGUUUUAUUUUUUCCUGAACAACACUGUGCCAUUCCCGGCCAAGGCGAGUUACCUUCUUGUUUUUCCUGGCAUGGCUUCUAUGCCUUUAACACCUGCGUAACAAACAAAAAUGCCUCAGGGGAAGCUUUUCCCAUCAUUGCACCUCCAUGCCGGGAAAAGUUCAACUGUUGAAUUUCAGCCUGGAAUAAAGAUGUUAAAACUCAACUAGGAAAAAAGAAAGGGUGGCAGCUUUGGAACUAGAAGAGCAAUGGGAUUAAGAGCCUGGAUUCCUAGAUUCUUUCUUCCUUCUCUCUAGAAAGGGAAUUCAAUGUCGCCAGCUAUGUCUGCUGAGAUUCACAGGCUCCUGUCUGGUUUCUAGACUCUCUAGAGAGAGACUCCAAAUAUAUGACUUAAUUGCCAAUUCUGUCUAUGUGUGUAUGUCAGAUCAACACACAGGACUGCACCAUGAAGUCUUAAGUGCAAUAGAAUGGGACAAUGUUAGGCACUGUUGUGAGUUUAGCUAUCUUGAUUGCUGCCAGUGGGCCUAUCCCUGAACAACUAACUGAUGAACAAAAGAAUACGAAUGUUCCUUAAUGGCUGGACAUAUCUUUCCUCUGCCUUUGGAAGGUGACACCCUUCCAAAAGGUGGAGGGUGGACAAGGGAAAAUGUAGCAUGUUUGAAAUAGAGCAGAGACAGAAUCCAGACAGGAAGGUUUAAUAAGGGAUGGCAAAAAAACUGGAAUAGGCUUGCUCUUCUUUAGGUUUAGCAGUUGUGCUUGCUGCUUUAAAAAUCUGCUUGCUUCCAAGAGACUCUGCAUGUAUAUUUGUAAAUAAACAGAUGUUACAAAGACACUGUAAGUCUUAAGUGCUCUCUUGUUAAGGAAACAACACCCUAUAGCAGUCUGCUGCUGGACUUCCUACUGCUGGAGGAUGGAGCGAGCACUUAAAAAGUGUGUAUGCUGUGCUGAGAGAAUAAAAAAUCUGGCCCAGGUCUGCAGUCUGCAUAAUUCUGUGAAUGAUCUAAGCUAGCAUAUCUUUGCUUAUUUGGCGUGGUUUGCAGCCCAGGCUUAUGCAUGUCUACUCAGUCGUAAGUCCCACUGAGUUUGGUGGGACUUCAUUGCUGGGAAUCUGCAUGCAGAAUAUGGCAGCCUUCAUGCUGGUGACAGGCAUGCUGCACUCUCUGCUCUUUCCUUUCCUUUCCUUCUUCUACAUUUUGGUGGAACUGGAGGGGGGACUGUGAAAUGGAAGGCUUUUUUCACUACUAUUAGCGUACAAAGAAGAACAAAAAAUAAAUCCAAGAAAUAAUUAUACAAUACAGAGAGAGAAAGAGAGAGAAACCACAUGGGGCAAAGGUCUGAGCGGGAUUUAAAAAAGCCUUUAUUUCUUAUGAACGCCCUAAAAUAGUAUCGAAAACCCCAGCCCCUCCCCCCAUCCGGAUGCCUGGGUCCCUGCCCCACCCAAACCCUGCCCCAUUCGGGUGUGGGGCGCUGCCCCAUGGUCCUACCUCCCCCCACCCCGGUGAAACCCCACCCACUCCAAGAAACCCCACCCACCUACCCCUCUCCCUAAAACAGCAUUUCUAAAGUUAUUACUAAAUCGCCCCCCCAUAGGAAAAGGGACAAAGAGACACAAGGAAAGAGAGAGAAAGCAGAAGUGGGGAGUGUGAGACUGAGGUGUGGGUUUGUUUGUGGUUGUGUGUCUACAGGGGAGGGGGAGGUGUGUGGGCCUUGCAUUUGUGGUUGUAGAACUGUCUGUGUUGGUUUAUUGGAGGUUUGGGGCGUGCGCCUCUUAUAUGUGCGUAUUUCCAUGUAUGCAAUUCCGCCCCCCUAUUCUUUUUGCAUCUGUCUCAAUGUCCAUGAGGAACUGAGUAUCUGUGUAGUUUAUGAAACAACUAAGCAAGUUGCCUAUGGAAGGUCACAUCUUGAUAAACCUAUUGGUCUCUAAGGUGCCAUAACAGCCUUGGCUUCUACAGACUAAGGGACCACUUCACACACAACACGGCUUCCUGAUCAGCUUACACAUGACAAAAUAAACCCUUAGCCACACCUCGCAAGCGACCACGCACACCUAGCUUAUCUCCACAUGAGGGAAAUGUCAUGUGUGCCGCAGCCACCACACAGCUGCUCUUUGGAGAUUUGUUCGGCGGAUACACUCUCGGUAUGUGUGUAAUUGUGGGUUCCUCUGAGCUGCAGCAAGUGUGGGUGACAGCCGUCCUGCCUACACGUGCCUGUGAUGGAGGCCGUGUGCUUGUGAUGUCUGGUUUUUAAUUGUGGUGCCUAUUUGCUGUGCAUGCUUCAUUAAACCGCACGCUUGUGUGUGAUGAUGGGGGCUUUUAGUGGUGAUGGGCUGUUUCUCUACCUGCUGGCGUGAUUUCUUGGCGUGUGCUUGUAUGCCUUUGUGCUUGCCUGUGGCUGUGUGAUGCAGGGAGGGGGUGGGUAUUUCUUGCAGUUCACCGUUGGCAGUGUGUGCACCCGUCAGGGAGCAACAGGUUGUUUCAGGAGGAGGCGUGCACUUGGGCCCCUGAAGUCAGUCGUGCCGCUCUUCCUGCUGCUUGUAUUGGAGAACUUUUAGAGUUGGGAAGAAGGACCUUGCAGACCCUCAGAUCCAACCCUAGCCCUGAGACAGGACCUUCCGGGCAUUGAAAGCGUCUUCAGCAGACAGAAGGAGGCUCCACAUGGGCUACGGCCAGCUGGUCCCAUGGCUGCAUAGUGAGGGGUGCCUGAGGACCGGCUGGCUUUCCCAGGACCAGACUGGGCCUUAAUCUGGUCCUCUCCCUCCUUAGAGCUCCACGCUUCUUCUUCUUCUGGCAGUGUCCCUUCAGAAGUGCUCCACUGCAAGAAUGCUAGUACCUCAGUGCAGAGGGGGAGUCCCUUCCGCCACCAGGUUCCUCACCGUGUUUCUGACCAGACCGGGCCAGAUCCAUUGCUCCUUUCUCCCCUGACAGCCCAGCAGCAGCACUAGCCCACCUGGCCAGGGCCAGUGGCGACUGCACCCAUCUUGUUGCCUUCCUGUACUUUUGAGCGCAUUGCUUGGUGUCCUCUCCAGCUGCUGUUCUCUCUCUUCUUUUUCAGGUUUUUAAAUAUUUGAAAGCUGUCAACGUGUCUCUUCUUCGCCCCCCUCCUUCAGCCCCUUCGUCUUAUUUUUCUCUAGGCUAAACAGACCCAGUUCCUUCAGCGCCUCCAUGUACGACUUGCCUUCCAGACCUUUGAUCAUCCGUGCAGCUCUCCUCCGAAUCCUUUUCAAUUUGUCAACAGCCUGCUGGAACGGAGGGCUCAAAACCAAACACAGCACUUCAAACAGGGCCUUGCUGAGUGAGCGUCUUCCUUGGCUAGGGAAGGGCACGAGGAGGAGAGCAAUUUCACUGGGUCAGGGCCCAGCUCAGAGCCAGGGCUGGGCCUGUGAGCCCUCUUGGCUCGACUGAAAUUCUGGGCCAAGUUAGCACCUGUUUUCUGCGCCAAGAAAAGCAAAGAUCUGUAAUUCUGCACCUUAAAGAAACCAUCCACUUC